UGGAGCAGUUCCAUUCAUGCUCCAAUGUUUAGUGACACGAAUGGAUUUAAGAAAAGUGAGCAUGUCACCUAAUCUAAUCCAUGAAACCACUCGAGCGGAUCGGACAUGUGCCUCCUUUCGUUUCAGGUAUUAAUUAUAAAAACAGUAAUAAUGGAUACUCUAUUUACUCCAAAUGUUCCCGAUGAAGCAGAAGAUAUACCGCCAACGGAUGAGCCAGUUUGGAUCCUUGGCAGGAAGUAUAAUGCUAUAAAAGAACUCGAUGCAAUACGCAGGGAUAUACGAUCCAAACUAUGGUUUACUUAUCGCAAAGGAUUUGUUCCCAUUGGAGGCUGCAAUUCUACAUUUACAUCUGAUAAAGGUUGGGGUUGUAUGUUGAGAUGUGGACAAAUGGUUCUGGCCCAAGCCUUAAUUACAUUACAUUUAGGUAAAGAUUGGCAAUGGAUGCCAGAAACAAAGAAUAACACAUAUCUAAAAAUUUUAAGGCGUUUUGAGGAUAAAAGGGCUGCUGCUUUCUCUAUCCAUCAAAUCGCAUUGAUGGGUGCAUCUGAAGGAAAGGAAGUUGGACAAUGGUUUGGUCCUAAUACUAUUGCACAAGUAUUAAAAAAAUUAAUUGUAUAUGACGAAUGGAGCUCUCUCACUAUACAUGUUGCAUUAGAUAAUACGUUAAUAGUUAAUGAUAUUUUGAGACAAUGUAGAGUAGAAGGUGGUGUGACAGCAGAAGCAGACGGAGAAAUUCCCCUAAGAGCACCUAGCCAAUGGAAACCUUUGUUAUUAUUAAUCCCGCUGCGCCUUGGACUUAGCGAAAUUAAUCCUGUAUACAUUAAUGGACUUAAGACAUCAUUCAAGAUCUCACAAUCUCUUGGAGUAAUUGGAGGGAAACCAAAUCUUGCUCUGUAUUUUAUAGGCUGUGUGGGAGAUGAAGUGAUCUAUCUAGAUCCUCAUACCACUCAGAAAUCAGGUAGUAUUGAAGACAAGAUAAGCGAAGAAGAAAUUGAGAUGGAUAUUUCAUAUCACUGCAAAUCAGCUAGUCGUAUUCCUAUUACGGGCAUGGAUCCUUCUGUGGCACUUGUUAGUAUAUGAUUUGACUUUUAUUAUAAAAGUCAACAAGAGAUAAAAAUUUAAGAGUUGCUCUAUGAGACAGAAAGAGAAUGAGGGGAGGUGAUAGGGAGAGAAUAUUGUGCUUCUUCUGUGCUACAGAAAAGGAAUUUAAGUCUCUAUGUAAAUCAAUGCAAGAGGAAUUAAUUUUGCCCGAAAAACAGC
rnacentral:misc_RNA from 1 species